rnacentral:lncRNA from 1 species
AGGGGGGCGACAUGCCUAUUCCUUAUUCCACCUGGCAGUGCUGACCAGCAUGCAAAAUCCUGAACGCCAGUGCUCUAUUGAUCAUGGCAGAGAAAGAAGCAAUCAAGUGACCUCCUGUGCUGCACAGUGACGUUUUGGUCAAGGGCAGAUGGGGGCUGUAGGCUGCGCGUUGGUGUGUAGCAGGCUAGACCAUAUUGCCUACGUGUGAAGGUUAGAUGGAUGAGGCAUGUGAACACAGUUUGGGGUAAACCUUUUAUAAAUGAAUAAAAUGAACCUUUUAUUUA